rnacentral:lncRNA from 1 species
CAAAUCAAGAAGGUGAGUCUGACUCUAAAAUCUCCUGAUGUUAACCUGAGAGCAGAUUCAUUAGUUCCACCUGUAAAGGAAAGACAACUUCUUUUACAUCUCCAGUAUCUGGUAUUGACAUAUGCUUUGUAUAAAAGUGCCAGACUUCAAAUAUAGGCAUUAUUGACACAUUUUAGAUCCCAAGAAAAGAAAUACCACAGAUCCAGAAAUGGCAGAUUCUCCUAGAGGGCUUUUUUCCCUCAACAUCAGGUCUAGACCCCCAUCAGGGUCAUCAAAGGUCUACAGAAGCAUCUGCACAAAGGAUCUUAUAUAAAAGUUCCAAAUAGGAGCCAAAUACAUCUAUACAUAGCAUAGUGUCAGGGAUGCAUUAGGUAUGUAAAUGCUUGCUGAUUGACAGAGUACUUCCUGGAGUCAUCAAAAUUCAGUGACAAGACAAAAGUUAAAAUGACUAGUGAUGUCCCAGGAUGGAGUGGAUGACCUUGGCAUUUUUGACAUCUGACCAAGUUCUAUAUGCGCCAUGGUUCUUGGGGCAGCCAUCUUCAUAGUUGGUGGAGCAACUUAUUCUCAUCCAUCCAUUCUGCCAGGGGAAGUCUUCCCAUACUUGAGGCAGAUAUUUUCCUAACUCAUCAUCAGAGCAGAAGCCAUGUCAGCAUAUUAUAAAGAAAUGAAUACCAACCAGAUGAGAGAAGACUUGUAUUCCAAUCCUGCCUUUCAUGCUUACUGUCCAUUCAACCUUGGGAAAGUCACCUAAACUGCUUUGAAUCUCAUUUUUGUCAUCUUUAAAAUGAGUUAGAUAUAUUUGACGGUUUAUAAAAUCCUCUCUGGCUCUACAUCUUUGAUAUUAUGAUUCUUCUUUCUCCCUCUGCUGCCUUCACCAACAAGCUAACUCUUCACAACUCAAUUUAUUGAAGGAAUCCUUUUCAAUAAGCAGGGUAACCUUCUCAGAGAAGUACACCAAACUUCUCAAUCUAUAGAGAUAUAUUAGAGACAAUAAAGAAACUGUAGAGACACA